ensembl:lncRNA
UCACGUCCAGCAUCCAGGCAGCAGGUCAGAGAGUCAGAGGAGGGACGUCUUGGAAACUAGAGCAGCGACUUACCGGAGAAAAGUUAUUAGCUGAAGAUAACUCAUGAUAGAUUCUACAAGUUAAACAGACAUUCUCUGAAUAUUGACGUCCAGCUAACGCUACGUAGCGUACAUAUCAGUAGCUUCAGUUAAUUAGACCCAGUGCCAACUCUGUGUUGCUAACACGUUCCUCCGUGUUCGAGCCAACAGACACACCAGACUGAACGUCGACGACCUCUGCUGGUGCAGGUGCUACGUCAAAUCUGCCCCAUUACGCCCCCACAGCGCCGGAGCCCACCUAGACUGCACCCAGGCUGUCAGGAUCGGGAAGCUGAAGAGGAGGAAGCAUGAGGAGGGACAGGAAGCUUCGUCCAACUCGGUGCCGCUGGAGGACGAGUGGAACGAGAGGAGGAGGAUCCAGAUGACGUCUCUGGGCUUUAAAGGUGAGCAUCAGCGGAGGGUAAAGGAUGUGAAGCUGAAGAGGCGCUGAACUUUUCAGUCCGGAUUACAGCAGCAGGAUGCCGGAAGGUUCUCUGAACAUUUCCUUUAACNNNNNNNNNNGUC